CAGCAGCCGCGGUAAUACGUAGGGUGCGAGCGUUAAUCGGAAUUACUGGGCGUAAAGCGUGCGCAGGCGGCUUUGCAAGACAGAGGUGAAAUCCCCGGGCUCAACCUGGGAACUGCCUUUGUGACUGCAAGGCUAGAGUACGGCAGAGGGGGAUGGAAUUCCGCGUGUAGCAGUGAAAUGCGUAGAUAUGCGGAGGAACACCGAUGGCGAAGGCAAUCCCCUGGGCCUGUACUGACGCUCAUGCACGAAAGCGUGGGGAGCAAACAGGAUUAGAUACCCUGGUAGUCCACGCCCUAAACGAUGUUAACUGGUUGUUGGACGGCUUGCUGUUCAGUAACGAAGCUAACGCGUGAAGUUGACCGCCUGGGGAGUACGGCCGCAAGGUUGAAACUCAAAGAAAUUGACGG
rnacentral:rRNA from 1 species